AUUUCUAGUCGCCCAAAAUGGAACCCCAUCCGGCUGCAUUCCGGCCACCAUGGCCACCGGAUCCGACCACCAAUAGAACCACCUCACUCCCCUCUAUAACCUACACCCAACCGCCGGCAAUAAACUCGCCGGAAUCUGAUGAAAAUCAAGCCCAAAACCCGAAUCUGCCGCAAUGUUUCUCUGCCGGAAAUCACUGUUCCGGUGAUACCCACGCCGGCGCACCACUGCCGGUCGAUAGAUCUCUUCCAGACGAUCACAACCAUGGUCGCCGUUCAUCAUUUGGAGCCUCCAAUCGGCCGGAAUUGCAUCAGAAAGUUCCGCCUGCGCUGCCUGCCGAAUUUCAAUUUUUCGGCGCCUCCGGUGGGACCCACGGUCGCGGACCACCGCCGGUCGGUAGCCCUCCUCCAGAUGAUCACAACCAUGGUACCCACUCACCAUUUGGAGCCCACAAUCGAUCAGAAUUUCAUCUGAAAGUCCCGCCUGCGCUGCCUGCCGAAUCGCUGCCUCCCUUUCAAUUUUCCGGCGCCACCAGUGGGACCCACAGUGGCGGACCACCCAAUUUCUACUCCUCUCAUCAUGGGCAACAUCCACAUCAUAUGGGUCUUCAUCAAUUUUACCCCAAUCUCGCAAAUCGAACGGAUUCAAUCCAUCAAGGUCAAAAGUCCGAUUCUCUCUUAAUUGACCCCACAAAUGUGUUCGAUUCUACAAUUAAACGUGGGGUAAAUGAAAUUCAAGCCCCAAAUACUCUGGGUAAUGUUCCAAUUGCUGAGAUUACAUCAUUAGUUUGCCGAAUCUUGGAAUCAAACGGUGUUCUUCACACCUCUAGCGCUGCUGGUCAGAUUUCUUCCAUUUCUGAGCAUUAUUUGAGAAAAUUGACACCUCCAAUGAACUCAGCAGGUCCAAAAACAUCAGAAGGGACUAUCAAUUCGACCAAAAAUAUUACAUUGGAUUUCGUGCCAAAAUGCACACAAACCGAGGCAGUUGGUACUGUUGUUUCUGGGCAGAAUUCUGCAUUUUUGACACUGCCAUCAUCUCCAGAGCAUAUGAAAACCUUUGGAGAGACCUUUGCUCCGAUUGAAAAUGACGGGAAAUCUGCAUUGGGAAAUGUGCCAAGUGGCACACAUAUCGAGGCAAAUCCUUCUAAUGUUUUUG
rnacentral:lncRNA from 1 species